rnacentral:rRNA from 1 species
CUAGCGACUUCAGAGUUUGAUCCUGGCUCAGGAUGAACGCUGGCGGCGUGCUUAACACAUGCAAGUCGAACGAAGCACUUUGAGAUCUUCGGAUGGAUGAGUGACUGAGUGGCGGACGGGUGAGUAACGCGUGGGUAACCUGCCUCAUACAGGGGGAUAACAGUUAGAAAUGACUGCUAAUACCGCAUAAGCACACAGGAUCGCAUGAUCCAGUGUGAAAAACUCCGGUGGUACGAGAUGGACCCGCGUCUGAUUAGGUAGUUGGUGAGGUAACGGCCCACCAAGCCGACGAUCAGUAGCCGACCUGAGAGGGUGAUCGGCCACAUUGGGACUGAGACACGGCCCAA